CUAGCUACAGGCUUAACACAUGCAAGUCGAGGGGCAGCAUGGUCUUAGCUUGCUAAGGCCGAUGGCGACCGGCGCACGGGUGAGUAACACGUAUCCAACCUGCCGUCUACUCUUGGACAGCCUUCUGAAAGGAAGAUUAAUACAAGAUGGCAUCAUGAGUCCGCAUGUUCACAUGAUUAAAGGUAUUCCGGUAGACGAUGGGGAUGCGUUCCAUUAGAUAGUAGGCGGGGUAACGGCCCACCUAGUCUUCGAUGGAUAGGGGUUCUGAGAGGAAGGUCCCCCACAUUGGAACUGAGACACGGUCCAAACUCCUACGGGAGGCAGCAGUGAGGAAUAUUGGUCAAUGGGCGAGAGCCUGAACCAGCCAAGUAGCGUGAAGGAUGACUGCCCUAUGGGUUGUAAACUUCUUUUAUAAAGGAAUAAAGUCGGGUAUGCAUACCCGUUUGCAUGUACUUUAUGAAUAAGGAUCGGCUAACUCCGUGCCAGCAGCCGCGGUAAUACGGAGGAUCCGAGCGUUAUCCGGAUUUAUUGGGUUUAAAGGGAGCGUAGAUGGAUGUUUAAGUCAGUUGUGAAAGUUUGCGGCUCAACCGUAAAAUUGCAGUUGAUACUGGAUAUCUUGAGUGCAGUUGAGGCAGGCGGAAUUCGUGGUGUAGCGGUGAAAUGCUUAGAUAUCACGAAGAACUCCGAUUGCGAAGGCAGCCUGCUAAGCUGCAACUGACAUUGAGGCUCGAAAGUGUGGGUACCAAACAGGAUUAGAUACCCUGGUAGUCCACACGGUAAACGAUGAAUACUCGCUGUUUGCGAUAUACAGCAAGCGGCCAAGCGAAAGCGUUAAGUAUUCCACCUGGGGAGUACGCCGGCAACGGUGAAACUCAAAGGAAUUGACGGGGGCCCGCACAAGCGGAGGAACAUGUGGUUUAAUUCGAUGAUACGCGAGGAACCUUACCCGGGCUUAAAUUGCAGAUGAAUUACGGUGAAAGCCGUAAGCCGCAAGGCAUCUGUGAAGGUGCUGCAUGGUUGUCGUCAGCUCGUGCCGUGAGGUGUCGGCUUAAGUGCCAUAACGAGCGCAACCCUUGUUGUCAGUUACUAACAGGUUCCGCUGAGGACUCUGACAAGACUGCCAUCGUAAGAUGUGAGGAAGGUGGGGAUGACGUCAAAUCAGCACGGCCCUUACGUCCGGGGCUACACACGUGUUACAAUGGGGGGUACAGAGGGCCGCUACCACGCGAGUGGAUGCCAAUCCCAAAAACCUCUCUCAGUUCGGACUGGAGUCUGCAACCCGACUCCACGAAGCUGGAUUCGCUAGUAAUCGCGCAUCAGCCACGGCGCGGUGAAUACGUUCCCGGGCCUUGUACACACCGCCCGUCAAGCCAUGGGAGCCGGGGGUACCUGAAGUGCGUAACCGCGAGGAGCGCCCUAGGGUAAAACUGGUGACUGGGGCUAA
rnacentral:rRNA from 1 species